rnacentral:rRNA from 1 species
CCCUUAGACGUUCUGGGCCGCACGCGCGCUACACUGACGAAGGCAACGAGCUUUCCUUUACCGAAAGGUACGGGUAAUCUUUUGAAACUUCGUCGUGCUGGGGAUAGAUCCUCGCAAUUUUUGAUCUUAAACGAGGAAUUCCUAGUAAGCGCAAGUCAUCAACUUGCGUUGAUUACGUCCCUGCCCUUUGUACACACCGCCCGUCGCUACUACCGAUUGAAUGGUUUAGUGAGGCCUUCGGAUCCGCGACUCGUUUUGUGGAGAAGUUGGACAAACUCAGUCAUUUAGAGGAAGUAAAAGUCGUAACA